rfam:Ovis aries breed Texel chromosome 3, whole genome shotgun sequence.
UCCCUGGCGGUCCAGGGGUCAGGACUCUGUGCUUCCACUGCAGAGGGCCCGGGUUCAAUCCCUGGUCGGGGAA